rnacentral:tRNA from 1 species
CAUUAAGAAGCUAUAUGCCAGCGCUAGCCUUUUAAGCUAGAGAAAGAGGGUCACCAUCCCCUCCUUAAUGG